CCCUUAGACGUUCUGGGCCGCACGCGCGCUACACUGACCAGUGCAACAAGCAUCCGUCCUUGGCCGACAGGCUCGGGCAAUCUUUGAACGCUGUUCGUGAUUGGGAUAGACCUUUGCAAUUAUGGGUCUUCAACGAGGAAUUCCUAGUAAACGCAAGUCAUCAGCUUGCAUUGAUUACGUCCCUGCCCUUUGUACACACCGCCCGUCGCACCUACCGAUUGAAUGGUCCGGUGAAAUCUCGGGACGGCGGCUUGGUCGCUUGCGUCCGACUGCUGAAACUUGAUUAAACCAUAUCAUUUAGAGGAAGGUGAAGUCGUAACA
rnacentral:rRNA from 1 species